GGUGGCCGGACAGUCGCGCUUUGGAAAGUAAAAUCUAAAAGUGAGGAAAGUCCGGGCUUCAUGGAAACAAGAUACCGGAUAACGUCCGGCCGGAGAGAUCCGAGGGAGAGCGCCACAGAAAAUUACCGCCAAGGCAUGCUUUGGUAAGGUUGAAAAGGCGGGGUAAGAGCCCACCGCCGAUCCGGUAACGGUGAGGGUCAAGGCAAGCCCUAUCUGAUGUAAGACCAAACUCGGUGUAUCAGGAUUUUCCUGACGGAGUGUUUCCACUUCGUCCAAGGGUAGGUCGCAAGAGCAAGCCGGCAACGGCUUGGUGAGAUGAAUGGCUGUCGGUAUUAACUUUGUCUUUUGAUAAAGCAAUGAUAUGUACAAAACCCGGCUUACAGGUCACCC
rnacentral:RNase_P_RNA from 1 species